rnacentral:siRNA from 1 species
UUGAACUACACAGUGUCGAUGC